UCCUAGCCCUGAUGGGAGCGGUAUCCUUUUUCUGGCUUCUUUAGGCAGGAAAAGAUAUAGCAGACAGCAGGAAUCAGC
rfam:Flavobacterium plurextorum strain CCTG 60112 WGS0045_contig_2, whole genome shotgun sequence.